GCUUGGCUUUCAUAGUGCUGUGCUUAUUUAUGGGCUCAAACUGUAGUUUGUGGGCCCCCUAGCGGUGAAAGGUCACUUGCUAUAUCCUAGGUCCAACACUUUCAACUACUGACCACUAGACAGCAGUGCGUUAUUGCGUUUUCUCUUCAGGACAGGAGGCGUCUUUGAAAGCAACACUACCUUGAUGCUUAUUUCACAGUAUAUACUUUUUAAUUCUAUGUGAAACAGUAUGCAUUAUAAAACAAUAAAUGUUUCAAACAACAAUAUGCUAUGUUGUAUGAUUAAAAUGCAAACAAUAUAUACUUUUAACGUUGGAAAUAAAAACUGUCUUGAGUCAAAAAGGAUACAUAAAGAAAGAUAUUAAGGCUGAUAUUACCUCCGGUUCAAUAACCCUGAAAGCUGAAGGUUUUGUUGGCUACCCAGUUCUGUUCCUCCUGUUGCAUACUUCAUAUUUUCAUAAAUCUAAACCAUACAGACACUCAAUAAAAGUUUAAUAUUCUAUUAAAGUUUGCAUUCUAUGCACAGAAAACAAUAUUUAUCUUACCAUAAAUCAGCAAGAAAAGUAUGGUUGUAUUGUAUACCAUUAUAAUCAUACCAUCAGUCUAAAGUUUAUCAUGUUAUUCAAAGUGACUAAUCAGUCAUUUCUAAAACAUAUUUUAUAAAUAAUUUUGAAAACAAAAUCAUAGUUCUUAAAUUAACACUUCUGUUUUGCUUCACUUAAAAAUAAAGCAUAACAACACAAAUAUUUAAUAUUAAAAUGUACACUUCUCAUAACCUUUAGUGUAUCUCAAAAUACACAUUUUUGUUCCCUCAGAAAUCUGAAGCACAAGAAGGUGAAUCAAUACUUCCUUCAAACAUUUUCAGACCAAAGCGAAGACUGAAUAAAAUGGUUUAUUCCACAAAAACAAUACUGCAACUACCAUUCAAAUGUUUGGACACAUCUGCUCAAUCUUACCAUUUUCCACACUUUAAAAUAAUGGAUAGGUUAAUAAAACGACAAAAUAACAAAUAUGCAAGCACGGGACAAUGUAGUAAGCAAAACAGGGAAGCAACAAAAAUAUCUUACCUACUUUUUAAACAAUACAAAAUGUGCAGAAGUAGUACUCCAACUUAUAAUUUGUAUAUCAGUAAAGCCCAAGCGUUAUGCCAGUAAAUACGUUAAUAGAAUUGAACUAUACUUAACAUGAAAUAAAUGUUUUACUAAAUAAAUGCA
ensembl:lncRNA